rnacentral:rRNA from 1 species
AGAGUUUGAUCAUGGCUCAGGAUGAACGCUAGCGGCAGGCCUAAUACAUGCAAGUCGAGGGGCAGCACGGUAGCAAUACUGGUGGCGACCGGCGCACGGGUGCGUAACACGUAUACAAUCUGCCUUUAACAGGGGGAUAGCCUUUCGAAAGAGAGAUUAAUACCCCAUAACACAAGAUCCGGCAUCGGAACUUGUUGAAAGCUCCGGCGGUUAAAGAUGAGUAUGCGUCUGAUUAGCUAGUUGGUGAGGUAACGGCUCACCAAGGCGACGAUCAGUAGGGGAUCUGAGAGGACUACCCCCCACACGGAUACUGAGACACGGAUCCGACUCCUACGGGAGGCAGCAGUAAGGAAUAUUGGACAAUGCCCGCAAGGGUGAUCCAGCCAUGCCGCGUGCAGGAAGAAGGCCCUAUGGGUCGUAAACUGCUUUUACACCGGAGAAAACCCCCUUUCGUGAAAGGGGCUGAUAGUAUGGUGAGAAUAAGCAUCGGCUAACUUCGUGCCAGCAGCCGCGGUAAGACGAAGGAUGCAAGCGUUAUCCGGAUUCAUUGGGUUUAAAGGGAGCGUAGGUGGACUGAUAAGUCAGUGGUGAAAUCUUUGGGCUUAACCCAAAAAUUGCCAUUGAUACUGUUGGUCUUGAGUACAGUUGCUGUGGGCGGAAUAUGACAUGUAGUGGUGAAAUACAUAGAGAUGUCAUAGAACACCGAUUGCGAAGGCAGCUCACAAAGCUGUAACUGACACUGAGGCUCGAAAGUGCGGGGAUCAAACAGGAUUAGAUACCCCAGUAGUCC